rnacentral:rRNA from 1 species
UACGAAGGGGGCUAGCGUUGCUCGGAAUCACUGGGCGUAAAGCGCACGUAGGCGGCUUCUUAAGUCAGGGGUGAAAUCCUGGAGCUCAACUCCAGAACUGCCUUUGAUACUGGGAGGCUCGAGUCCGGGAGAGGUGAGUGGAACUGCGAGUGUAGAGGUGAAAUUCGUAGAUAUUCGCAAGAACACCAGUGGCGAAGGCGGCUCACUGGCCUGGUACUGACGCUGAGGUGCGAAAGCGUGGGGAGCAAACAGG